rnacentral:rRNA from 1 species
AGGUCUCCGUAGGUGAACCUGCGG